rnacentral:rRNA from 1 species
UAAACAUAGACAGUAAACGUACUUAACUGUCCGCCCGGGAACUACGAGCAUCAGCUUAAAACCCAAAGGACUUGGCGGUGCUUUAACCCCCCUAGAGGAGCCUGUUCUAGAACCGAUAAUCCCCGUUCAACCUCACCCUUCCUUGUUCUUCCCGCCUAUAUACCGCCGUCGUCAGUUUACCCUGUGAAGGAAAGACAGUAAGCACAAUUGGCACAGCCCGAAACGCCAGGUCGAGGUGUAGCGAAUGGAAGGGAAAGAAAUGGGCUACAUUCCUUAAUAUUAAGGCACACGAAUGAUAUGUUGAAACACAUAACUGAAGGAGGAUUUAGCAGUAAGCAGAAAGUAGAGUGUCCUGCUGAAACUGGC